UGGUUCUGGCAUCGAUGAAGAACGCAGCGAAAUGCGAUAAGUAAUGUGAAUUGCAGAAUUCAGUGAAUCAUCGAAUUUUUGAACGCAUAUUGCGCCCUUUGGUAUUCCGAAGGGCAUGCCUGUUCGAGCGUCAUUACACCCCUCAAGUCUAGGCUUGAUGUUGGGCGUUGCCGGUGGAAGGCACGCCUUAAAGACAGUGACGGUUACCCUUAACCUCAGGCACACAGAUGUUGCUACGGUGGAAGAGGGCGGCCAGUCUUCUGAUUAAAUUUUCAAAAUGUUGACCUCGGAUCAGGUAGGAAUACCCGCUGA
rnacentral:misc_RNA from 1 species